AACUUUAAAAAAAAAUUGCAAACAUUUCUCAGGAAAAUUAGCUCGCCAAUUUUUGUAAACUUACUCAGAUCAAAAACGUCUCUUUAUUCUGUAAAAGUUUGUACAGCCAUUUUGCAAAGUUACCAAAACCUACAUGAAUUUUCCAAACCCUGCAUCACAUCUUUCUGCACAAUCCCCCUAUCAUUUUCGCCAAGUGACAUUUGUCUCUCUGUUUUUUUCUGGGAGGAAGGAAAACGAUCCUGUUUGUUUGAUGAUCUCUGGCGAUGAUGAGAGUGUUGUCACAGCUGGUGCCACAAAGAGUGAAAGAAAAACGUCCACCUUUUCAUCCCGAUGGAGACAGGGACGCAUAAUUGCGUAAGAAGAAUGGAUCCGACAUGGGCAAUAAAUAGGGAAGAAAAAGGGUCGCGUGUUACACCGCGUCAAAUAAAUUAUUACAUUUCAAGCACUAAUUCAAUUGAAUUUCCCAUAAAAAUGUCAAGAAUGAAAUGAAUGGGUCAUUCAUUUCGUUGGAGGAGAGAUGGGAAAAUUAAGAAUUUUCUUAGGUACCAGAGAUGUCCGAAAUAUUUUGAAAUUGGCGGGUGAAGAAAUUUAAAUGUUUAUUUUGACAAAUUGAAAUUGGAAAUAUUUUUUUUUACUUCUUAACACAAAAAAAUAUACAAAUGUUUGGAAUAAUAUUGUAAUUGUUUAGGAGAGUUGUCCGAAAUAUUUUGAAAUUGGCGGGUGUAGAAAGUUAAAUGUUGGAAAAAAGAUGAAAUUAUGCAAUUUUUGUCUGGAAAAGUAAGAAAGUGGAGACAAUUCAUUUGCACGAUUGAAUUAUCACAAAUUGGAAUUGAAAAAAAAUAUUUUUUUAAAUUUGUUAAGUUACAAAAUAAAUAUUUGAAAGAUGUAAUUGGAAAUUUAAACGUCGAAAAAUAAAAUUUUUGUGGUUGGCUUAAUCAAACUAACAAUAAUGUUACAUGAGUAUCUUAUUAAAUUCACUAAAUAACGUUUAUUUGUAAAGUCUUCAAUAUUUGGGAAAAGUUACCAAAUUUGACAAAUAUUUAAUAAUAAGGAAAAUUAGCUCACAAAUUUUUGUAAGUUUAGUAAGAUCAAUGCCAUCUCUUUAUUUUGUAAACGUUUGUACCUACAAAAUUUACAAAUUUUAAGUAUAAAGUUACAAAUGACUGUGUAAAUUUCAUCGUUGAACGCAAACUCAAAUAAAUCAAUACCAACGUCUGUUCA